rnacentral:lncRNA from 1 species
UGCUGGGGGUGCUGGGGGGUGCCGGGGUCCCAGCCCCGCGCCCCCCGCAGCUCCCUGGCGCCCGGAGCACUCGUGCCUGGCCGGGGCGCGGACUCCGACCUUGCCCCGCGCUCGCCGGCUGGCCGCGGGCCCAGCGCCCAGCAGCGAAGCUCUGCAGAUCAGUGCUCCCACGAGAUAAGACGGGGUCUGCUCCCUGCUCCUCGCCGGCAGGAAAAUCAGCGAUGCCUUAAACCAGCCGGUCCUGGCGAGCACACGCUGCCCGUCCCGCUGCUUGCAGGAUGGCUCUGGCCAUGGCUGCGCCGGCAGGCGCUGCAGGAUGCAACGCCACGGGAGCCGUGCAGAGCCCCGACGGCUGUCCUGCUCCCGGUGUCACCGGUGCCAUGUCCUGGGCUCGGUGCACCCAGUGCUGCCGGGAAGGGGAACCGGUGGCCAGGGAAGGUGCAGGAUGUCACUCCACUGCUGCUCGACCCCACUGUUUCCCCACCGCCCUGGGGAGAGGAAAUGGCCCCAGAUUCGGGACAGCGAGCCCAUUGUGGAGCCCCACUGAAGCCCUCGGAGCUGCCCCGCUCCGGGGGCUCUUUCUCCGAGCGCCGCCGGGGGCACCAGCCCUCUGCACUGCAGUGACCGCUCUGCCCAAAGUAAACAUGGAAAAAAGCUCUAUUGCUGCCCUGGCUCCUGCUGGCG